rnacentral:rRNA from 1 species
AUUGAACGCUGGCGGCAGGCCUAACACAUGCAAGUCGAGCGGAUGAAGGGAGCUUGCUCCUGGAUUCAGCGGCGGACGGGUGAGUAAUGCCUAGGAAUCUGCCUGGUAGUGGGGGAUAACGUCCGGAAACGGGCGCUAAUACCGCAUACGUCCUGAGGGAGAAAGUGGGGGAUCUUCGGACCUCACGCUAUCAGAUGAGCCUAGGUCGGAUUAGCUAGUUGGUGGGGUAAAGGCCUACCAAGGCGACGAUCCGUAACUGGUCUGAGAGGAUGAUCAGUCACACUGGAACUGAGACACGGUCCAGACUCCUACGGGAGGCAGCAGUGGGGAAUAUUGGACAAUGGGCGAAAGCCUGAUCCAGCCACGGCGCGUGUGUGAAGAAGGUCUUCGGAUUGUAAAGCACUUUAAGUUGGGAGGAAGGGCAGUAAGUUAAUACCUUGCUGUUUUGACGGUACCAACAGAAUAAGCACCGGCUAACUUCGUG